rnacentral:rRNA from 1 species
AUUGAACGCUGGCGGCAAGCCUAACACAUGCAAGUCGAACGAGUGGCGGACGGGUGCGUAAUGUCUGGGAAACUGCCUGAUGGUGGGGGAUAACUACUGGAAACGGUAGCUACUACCGCAUACCAUCGGAUGUGCCCAGAUGGGAUUAGCUAGUGGGUGGGGUAAAGGCUCACCUAGGCGACGAUCCCUAACUGGUCUGAGAGGAUGACCAGCCACACUGGAACUGAGACACGGUCCAGACUCCUACGGGAGGCAGCAGUGGGGAAUAUUGCACAAUGGGCGAAAGCCUGAUGCAGCCAUGCCGCGUGUAUGAAGAAGGUCUUCGGGUUGUAAAGUACUUUCAGCGGGGAGGCGUUACCCGCAGAAUAAGCACCGGCUAACUCCGUGCCAGCAGCCGCGGUAAUUC